GUUCAUAUGUUGUUACACUACGUGUGACAAUUUUAUGUUAUCUGGCAUAUAUUUAUGGGAAUCAGAUCUGCAGCCGUCACAGCCUGCUGAUGAAGAUCCUCAGCUUAUUAUACAAAGGCCAGGGUUGAGCUAUGUGCUGAUUCAAAAGAUGCUAAUGACAGUGGAUAAUCCAUUCUGAGUUGUUCUAGGACCAUUCACCAAUGUUUCAAAACACUGAUGGAACUGAAGGCAGUACAUGUACUGGUGUCAGGCCUGUGAUUUCAAGUAUAGACUAUAAUUGAUGUACCUCCUCCUGAUGUAUCUCCUUGAAUACAAUAUAUCUGCCAUGUGAAAGGAACAAGCUGCAAGAUAUACUGUGGAAGUGGGGGCCUAUAUAAAAAAAAACAUUUUGUUUAAAGAAUAUAAGAAAUCUGACACUAAACUACUGAAAAGGUGCACAAGGGACAUUUUUGUGUGUAUAGACUUUCAUCAAGAUUCUGAGAAAGUUGAUUUAUUUAACAAAAAUAGUCAUAUUGUGUCUUCAAAGCUGAAAAGAUUAAGAUCUUAGGAAAACUUAGGACUCAAGAAAAGUAAUGGGGUUAUGAAACUGUAGUGUUCAACAUUUAAAUUGUUUUUGUUUUUUUUUUUUUUCACUACAUUUUGUGAAGAGGGUUCCAUCACAAGAUGUGACAUAUUGGUAAGAAUGAGAUGUAAUUUAUGAAAAAAAGUAUUUUGCUUUAAAUGUGCAGACUUUAAGUUACAUAAAAAAUCAAAGCUGUAACAAUAAAGCUUGAUUAAAAAAAAACACUCUUGAAAACUAGCCAACAUGUAAUUGUCACACUUUUUUGGAUGCACAGGGGACACAAUUAGCUAUAUAAUUUAAUAUAACUUUAACCCUUAGGCUCUUGCUAAAUUUCUAUAAUGAACUUGUCCGUUUUACAAUUUGGACAGUAUUAUUAAGUGUUAAAAGGGGUGCUAACCAAAAGAUUCUGACUGAAUGGCGAACAGUGCAGAUCAAGAUCAGACUGCACAGAUGUGCAGGCUGAUCAUGAUCUACACUUGUCGCAAAGGUAGGACCAACCAUGUACAGCAUAAUAAGGGUUAAACCUGCUUGAGCCAUUCAGCUGAAAUUGUAAACAUUUGUUGACUACAUUGAUUGGAUAUAAUUAUGUAAUUUGCCCCAGAACACUUUAUAAAACUGAACUGAAUUAAAAUAAGGUGAGAGAGAAGAAAAAGCUUAAUUAUUAAAAAAAAAACCAAUAUAGCCGAUAGAUAUACAUUGUUGAAGGCAUUAUCUUUGUUUACAUUAAAUUUAAAUGUGACUGCCACCUUGUUUGUUAGAAACAUAAAGACACAUUAAUUUCUUGUAUUUUUGAUAAUUUCUUAUGUAAUUAAGUCAUUUCAAAUGUUUUCUCUUUUAAGUGACCCUGAGAGGCAGUUCUUGUUAACUACAAAACCAUCUACUAUUAUUGGUUAACUAAUUAUUGGAAUAGUGAGCAUUUUAACAUUGUUUCAUCACAAUACACUCCUUUAUGGGAAUAGGGAGGCAAUAGCACAUUUAACUAUUAAACUAACUAUUAAACUAAUUAUUAAACUAAUAUGUCAUUUGAAUGAAAACAGCCUUAGACACACCUGAAAAUCAGAUAAAUUUAAAAAUACAUGCAAAGUUUUAAAAAUGUUUUUGGAUUUAAGUUAUAACAUUUUCUUAUUUUUAUCUUCAGUUGGUUAUUAAUGCAACUGAUUGUUUUUAUCAACAUCUGUUGUCAGGUGUGUUUCGUCCCAAUUUAAUUUUGUGACCCAUACAGUGUUUCCAGGACUCAUCAGUAAGAGAAACACCAUCAACUUGAGUCAACAACAUAACUUUUAACAUGUGAACAGAAGUUAAUUAUAAACAUUUUCAAAGGAACAUAGUGAACUGGAACAGUAAAUGAAAAUUAUAAAAGAAAUGAAAACCUGUACACUUUGGCAUUUCAUAGUUCUUU